rnacentral:tRNA from 4 species
GUUAAUGUAGCUUAAAUUUUCAAAAGCAAGACACUGAAAAUGUCUAGAUGGGCCUAUCGCCCCAUCAACA